rnacentral:rRNA from 1 species
AACGCGAAGAACCUUACCUGGGUUUGACAUCCCUUGACCGACAUAGAGAUAUGUUUUCUGUAGUAAUACAGCAAGGAGACAGGUGCUGCAUGGCUGUCGUCAGCUCGUGUGGUGACAUGUUGGGUUAAGUCCCGCAACGAGCGCAACCCUUAUUGUCAGUUGCCAUCAUUCAGUUGGGCACUCUGGCGAAACCGCCUCGGAUAACGGGGAGGAAGGUGGGGAUGACGUCAAGUCCUCAUGGCCUUUAUGUCCAGGGCUACACACGUGCUACAAUGGUUGGUACAAACCGUCGCAAACCCGCGAGGGGGAGCUAAUCGGAAAAAGCCAAUCCCAGUCCGGAUUGGAGUCUGCAACUCGACUCCAUGAAGCUGGAAUCGCUAGUAAUCGCAGAUCAGCACGCUGCGGUGAAUACGUUCCCGGGCCUUGUACACACCGGAGUA